rnacentral:rRNA from 1 species
AUUGAACGCUGGCGGCAGGCCUAACACAUGCAAGUCGAACGGUAACAGGAAGAAGCUUGCUUCUUUGCUGACGAGUGGCGGACGGGUGAGUAAUGUCUGGGAAACUGCCUGAUGGAGGGGGAUAACUACUGGAAACGGUAGCUAAUACCGCAUAACGUCGCAAGACCAAAGAGGGGGACCUUCGGGCCUCUUGCCAUCGGAUGUGCCCAGAUGGGAUUAGCUAGUAGGUGGGGUAACGGCUCACCUAGGCGACGAUCCCUAGCUGGUCUGAGAGGAUGACCAGCCACACUGGAACUGAGACACGGUCCAGACUCCUACGGGAGGCAGCAGUGGGGAAUAUUGCACAAUGGGCGCAAGCCUGAUGCAGCCAUGCCGCGUGUAUGAAGAAGGCCUUCGGGUUGUAAAGUACUUUCAGCGGGGAGGAAGGGAGUAAAGUUAAUACCUUUGCUCAUUGACGUUACCCGCGGAAGAAGCACCGGCUAACUCCGUGCCAGCAGCCGCGGUAAUACGGAGGGUGCAAGCGUUAAUCGGAAUUACUGGGCGUAAAGCGCACGCAGGCGGUUUGUUAAGUCAGAUGUGAAAUCCCCGGGCUCAACCUGGGAACUGCAUCUGAUACUGGCAAGCUUGAGUCUCGUAGAGGGGGGUAGAAUUCCAGGUGUAGCGGUGAAAUGCGU